ACGUACCUCUUCUUGUUCUUCCCCUCCUCUCCCCCCUCCUUCGUUGGAAAUUCCCCAAUGGAACAGGUGGUCCAAAA
rnacentral:ribozyme from 1 species